AGUGAACGCUGGCGGUAGGCCUAACACAUGCAAGUCGAACGGCAGCACAGUAAGAGCUUGCUCUUACGGGUGGCGAGUGGCGGACGGGUGAGGAAUACAUCGGAAUCUACUUUUUCGUGGGGGAUAACGUAGGGAAACUUACGCUAAUACCGCAUACGACCUACGGGUGAAAGCAGGGGAUCUUCGGACCUUGCGCGAUUGAAUGAGCCGAUGUCGGAUUAGCUAGUUGGCGGGGUAAAGGCCCACCAAGGCGACGAUCCGUAGCUGGUCUGAGAGGAUGAUCAGCCACACUGGAACUGAGACACGGUCCAGACUCCUACGGGAGGCAGCAGUGGGGAAUGUUGGGCAAUGGGCGCAAGCCUGAUCCAGCCAUACCGCGUGGGUGAAGAAGGCCUUCGGGUUGUAAAGCCCUUUUGUUGGGAAAGAAAAGCAGCAGGUUAAUACCCCGCUGUUCUGACGGUACCCAAAGAAUAAGCACCGGCUAACUUCGUG
rnacentral:rRNA from 1 species